rnacentral:rRNA from 1 species
GAUGAACGCUAGCUACAGGCUUAACACAUGCAAGUCGAGGGGUCUUUUUUAGCUUGCUUUAAAAAGACGACCGGCGCACGGGUGAGUAACGCGUAUCCAACCUGCCAUUCAUAUUGGGAUAGCCUUUCGAAAGAGAGAUUAAUACCGAAUAACAUACUGAGUUUGCAUGAAAACAGUAUGAAAGCUGAGGCGAUGAAUGAUGGGGAUGCGUUCCAUUAGGUAGUAGGCGGGGUAACGCCCACCUAGCCAACGAUGGAUAGGGGUUCUGAGAGGAAGGUCCCCCANACUGGAACUGAGACACGGUCCAGACUCCUACGGGAGG